CAUUUGCUCCAUGAUUUUUGAAUAGCCGCGGAAACUUAACCGUGCUAAGGUAGCAUAAUCAUUAACCCCCUAAUUAGGGGCUCGUAUGAAUGAUGAAACAUUUUAAUAACUUUUUUAACAUUUAUUAUUUAAUUUUAUUUAAAAAUCAAAAUAUUUUUAUUCUAUUAAUAGACAACAAGACCCUAACGAACUUAACUUUAUGUUCUGCUGGGGCAGCAAAAAAAUAAAUAUCUUUUUAAUUAUUUUUUUUUUUAUAAAUGAUCCAAUACAAAUUGAUUAUUUGUUUAAGUUACCGUAGGGAUAACAGCGUAAUUAAUUUUUGAAGCUCUUAUUUAAAAUAUUAGAUUGCGACCUCGAUGUUGAAUUAAUGAAACUAUUUAAGUGCAACCACUAAAUAAA
rnacentral:rRNA from 1 species